GGAUAGCUCAGUUGGGUAGAUUGUGGUGCUGAUAAUGCCAAGGUUGCAGGUUCGAUCCCCUUUUGGGACA
rnacentral:tRNA from 1 species